rnacentral:rRNA from 1 species
ACAUGCCAACAACAUAGCGUUAAUGCAUCAGAUCCCAUUAGAAAUUUUAAUUUAAGUGCGCUUGGGCUAGAGUAGUACUGGGAUGGGUGACCUCUCGGGAAGUCCUAGUUUUUACAUGCU